rnacentral:rRNA from 1 species
AUACGGAGGGUGCAAGCGUUACUCGGAAUUACUGGGCGUAAAGGACGCGUAGGCGGUUUAGAAAGUCAGAUGUGAAAGCCUAUGGCUUAACCAUAGAACUGCAUCUGAAACUCCUAGACUAGAGUGAGGGAGAGGUCAGUGGAAUUAGUGGUGUAGGGGUAAAAUCCGUAGAGAUCACUAGGAAUACUCAUAGCGAAGGCGACUGACUGGAACUUUACUGACGCUGAGGCGUGAAAGCGUGGGGAGCAAACAGGAGUAGAAACCCUAGUAGUCC